UGCCUUGUUCUUCAGCAACUAGACACAACCUGCUGUGUGUCUGUAUUGGAAAACGGGGCUAGAAGAGUAACAGGUUCUGCUUUCCUCGCUGUACAUUUAAUUGCAGUGGUGACAAUGAGACCUGUAACAAGU